GAUGAACGCUGGCGGCGUGCCUAAUACAUGCAAGUCGAGCGAACGGACGAGAAGCUUGCUUUUCUGAUGUUAGCGGCGCACGGGUGAGUAACACGUGGAUAACCUACCUAUAAGACUGGGAUAACUUCGGGAAACCGGAGCUAAUACCGGAUAAUAUUUUGAACCGCAUGGUUCAAAAGUGAAAGACGGUCUUGCUGUCACUUAUAGAUGGAUCCGCGCUGCAUUAGCUAGUUGGUAAGGUAACGGCUUACCAAGGCAACGAUGCAUAGCCGACCUGAGAGGGUGAUCGGCCACACUGGAACUGAGACACGGUCCAGACUCCUACGGGAGGCAGCAGUAGGGAAUCUUCCGCAAUGGGCGAAAGCCUGACGUAGCAACGCCGCGUGAGUGAUGAAGGUCUUCGGAUCGUAAAACUCUGUUAUUAGGGAAGAACAUAUGUGUAAGUAACUGUGCACAUCUUGACGGUACCUAAUCAGAAAGCCAGGGCUAACUACGUG
rnacentral:rRNA from 1 species